AUUGAACGCUAACGGCAUGCUUAACACAUGCAAGUCGAACGGCAGCACAGUCGUAGCAAUACGAUGGGUGGCGAGUGGCGGACGGGUGAGUAAUGUAUAGGAAUCUGCCUUAUAGUGAGGGAUAACCUGGGGAAACUCGGGCUAAUACCGCAUAAUCUCUACGGAGCAAAGUGGGGGACCUUCGGGCCUUACGCUAUAAGAUGAGCCUAUAUUGGAUUAGCUAGUUAGUGGGGUAAAGGCCUACCAAGGCGACGAUCCAUAGCUGGUCUGAGAGGAUGAUCAGCCACACUGGGACUGAGACACGGCCCAGACUCCUACGGGAGGCAGCAGUGGGGAAUAUUGGACAAUGGGGGAAACCCUGAUCCAGCAAUGCCGUGUGUGUGAAGAAGGCCUUCGGGUUGUAAAGCACUUUUAGCGGGGAAGAAAAAGUUCAAAGCUAAUAAUUUUGAGCCUUGACGUUACCCGCAGAAAAAGCACUGGCUAACUCUGUGCCAGCAGCCGCCGUAA
rnacentral:rRNA from 1 species